rnacentral:rRNA from 1 species
AUUGAACGCUGGCGGCAGGCCUAACACAUGCAAGUCGAGCGAGCGGCGGCCGGGUGAGUAAUGUCUGGGAAACUGCCUGAUGGAGGGGGAUAACUACUGGAAACGGUAGCUAAUACCUCAUACCAUCAGAUGUGCCCAGAUGGGAUUCGCUAGUAGGUUGGGUAACGGCUCACCUAGGCGACGAUCCCUAGCUGGUCUGAGAGGAUGACCAGCCACACUGGAACGGGGACACGGUCCAGAAUCCGACGGGAGGCAGCAGUGGGGAAUAGUGCACAAUGGGCGCAAGCCUGAUGCAGCCAAGCCGCGUGUGGGAAGAAGGCCUUCGGGUUGUAAAGCAAUUUCAGCGGGGAGGCGUUAGCCGCAGAAGAAGCACCGGCUAACUCCGUGCCAGCAGCCGCGGUAAUAC